rnacentral:tRNA from 1 species
GCGCCGCGGUAGGACCGGAUGACUCGACCAAGAUCAACCUCUUAAUCCGCGGGUUCGGGGUUCGAGUCCCUGGCGGCGCACCA